rnacentral:misc_RNA from 1 species
CCACGUGGCUCAUCAUUUCCGCCAUGUCGGCAGCCACCGAUGCCGGGAUGGCUUGCGUCGGCUUUCUGCCGUCGCGGUCCCAGCGCCAGACCGGAUCACCUGCGCCGGUCCGGACUUCGAGCACGGCAUGCGGCUUCACCGCGCGUCCCUUGUUCGGGAACGUGGCGUAAGCGACCGCAUGCUCGACGACGCUCACUUCGGUCGA